GUAGGGGGCAAGCGUUGUCCGGAAUGAUUGGGCGUAAAGGGCGUGUAGGCGGCUAAGUAAGUCUGGAGUGAAAGUCCUGCUNUUAAGGUGGGAAUCGCUUUGGAUACUGCAUAGCUAGAGUGCAGGAGAGGUAAGUGGAAUUCCCAGUGUAGCGGUGAAAUGCGUAGAGAUUGGGAGGAACACCAGUGGCGAGGGCGACUUACUGGACUGUAACUGACGCUGAGGCGCGAAAGUGUGGGGAGCAAACAGGAUUAGAUACCCUGGUAGUCCACACUGUAAACGAUGAAUGCCAGGUGUAGGUGGUAUCGACCCCAUCUGUGUCGGAGUAAACACAAUAAGCAUUCCGCCUGGGGAGUACGGCCGCAAGGUUGAAACUCA
rnacentral:rRNA from 1 species